rnacentral:tRNA from 1 species
GGCCUCAUAGUUCAAGGGAUAGAACGGAAGUUUCCUAAACUUUAAAUUCAGGUUCGAGUCCUGGUGAGGCUA